UACGGAGGGUGCAAGCGUUACUCGGAAUCACUGGGCGUAAAGGACGCGUAGGCUGGUUGAAAAGUCAGGUGUGAAAGCCUACAGCUUAACUGUAGAACUGCACUUGAAACUCUCAAUCUAGAGUAUGGGAGGGGGAGAUGGAAUUAGUGGUGUAGGGGUAAAAUCCGUAGAUAUCACUAGGAAUACCUAAAGCGAAGGCGAUCUCCUGGAACAUUACUGACGCUAAGGCGUGAAAGCGUGGGGAGCAAACAGG
rnacentral:rRNA from 1 species